UGGGGAAUAUUGGACAAUGGGCGAAAGCCUGAUCCAGCCAUGCCGCGUGUGUGAAGAAGGUCUUCGGAUUGUAAAGCACUUUAAGUUGGGAGGAAGGGCAGUUACUUAAUACGUGAUUGUCUUGACGUUACCGACAGAAUAAGCACCGGCUAACUCUGUGCCAGCAGCCGCGGUAAUACAGAGGGUGCAAGCGUUAAUCGGAAUUACUGGGCGUAAAGCGCGCGUAGGUGGUUUGUUAAGUUGAAUGUG
rnacentral:rRNA from 1 species